rnacentral:lncRNA from 1 species
AAAAAACAAAAAUCCGUAUAAUUUUAGUCAAAAUCACACUUUUGGUUAGACGAAUACUUUUAAUAUUUUUUAAUAAUCAAAUUGGUCCUGAUUUUGUAAUUGAGUUUGAUUUCAAUCUCUAAUCCCUCGACAGAAAAAUGAUAUUUAAUAAUGGUAAAAAAAACUGUCUAUAGACUAUAAACAUCGCUUUGACCGCCACUAAAUGUAUUUUUUCAGCCUAAGACUAAAACCAAACUCGGUUAUAAUAUUAUGGAUUAAAUUGACUAUUAAAUUUUUUUUCAAUAUCUUGUAUAUUGUAUAUAAUGUCAAUUGUCAAGAACACAGAUUAUUUUGGGCAAGUAGGCAUAGUGCUUUUUGUUUGUUGAGAGAGGUUCAUUUUCUGCGAAGUAACGCGACCCUGCGUGAUUCUAUUUUAUUCUCUUGACGCUUUCCUUGUGUGGUGUGCCAUAACAAGAACCAAUAGACCCUGGUGUUUCUUCCAUUCGGAGCUUCUCCUAGGUGAUUCUCUUCACGCUUCACGAUUAUCAUUUCUUAUUUUCUAUGUCCAAUUUCAUGUUCAUUGAUAAAAAACUGAAUGUGUAAUUGUGGGUCAUCUUUGUUUUUUCCAAACUCGUUUAAGGUUGUCUUUUCUAUGUGUGCUUUGUUUUUUGUUGGUUGGUUCAACUGCAGACAACCCGUGUCUCUCUUGUAAUCUUUCUCACUAGGAUUUAGCCCGUCUCUGUGCGAUGCACGGACGAACAGUUCUUCAAUUUAUCAUAUUUAUUCAAUCAAUUUAUUUAACUUCAUCUAUUUAAAUCACAUACCAAUUAUUGUAACCCUUACGAAUCACAAUACAAAAUAUGGCUUAACCGAAACAUAGACAUCAACGACUAAUUAUAAACAUUAAUAUGGAUAACAAAAGUUGUAUUUUCAUUUAUCAUUGUCAAAAUAACUUGAACAC